rnacentral:rRNA from 1 species
GCAGCAGGCGCGCAAAUUACCCACUCCCGGCACGGGGAGGUAGUGACGAAAAAUAACGAUACGGGACUCAUCCGAGGCCCCGUAAUCGGAAUGAGUACACUCUAAACCCUUUAACGAGUAUCCAUUGGAGGGCAAGUCUGGUGCCAGCAGCCGCGGUAAUUCCAGCUCCAAUAGCGUAUAUUAAAGUUGUUGCGGUUAAAAAGCUCGUAGUUGGACUUGUGUCCCACGCUGUCGGUUCACCGUUCGUCGGUGUUAACUGGCAUGCCUGUGUGGACGUCCUGCCGGUGGAUGCGGUCGGCCGUGGGCCUCUGGUCUGCGUGUCGGCGGUCCGAUGCAAUCCUACCGCGGUGCUCUUCACCGAGUGUCGAGGUGGGCCGGCACGUUUACUUUGAACAAAUUAGAGUGCUCAAAGCAGGCAGUGGUUCGCCUGAAUAUUGUGUGCAUGGAAUAAUGGAAUAGGACCUCGGUUCUAUUUUGUUGGUUUUCGGAACCUGAGGUAAUGAUUAAUAGGGACAGACGGGGGCAUUCGUAUUGCGACGUUAGAGGUGAAAUUCUUGGAUCGUCGCAAGACGAACCUAAGCGAAAGCAUUUGCCAUGAGUGUUUUCAUUAAUCAAGAACGAAAGUUAGAGGUUCGAAGGCGAUCAGAUACCGCCCUAGUUCUAACCAUAAACGAUGCCAGCUAGCGAUCCGCCGAAGUUCCUCCGAUGACUCGGCGGGCAGCUUCCGGGAAACCAAAGCUUUUGGGUUCCGGGGGAAGUAUGGUUGCAAAGCUGAAACUUAAAGGAAUUGACGGAAGGGCACCACCAGGAGUGGAGCCUGCGGCUUAAUUUGACUCAACACGGGAAACCUCACCAGGCCCGGACACCGGAAGGAUUGACAGAUUGAUAGCUCUUUCUUGAUUCGGUGGGGUGGUGGUGCAUGG